rnacentral:tRNA from 1 species
UGGGAUAUAGCUCAGCGGUAGAGCAAUCGGCUGUUAACCGAUAGGUCGUAGGUUCGAAACCUACUAUCCCAG